rnacentral:lncRNA from 1 species
AAACAGCAUCUGUUGCUGUCUUGCAGGAUCUAUCAUCAAGGUGGGAUCCAAGAUCAACCCACAGUCAGGUUCAACAUCCCAAGAAGCACAUUUCUUUAUUUAUCAGUGAAACCUGAGUCUUGGGUGCUCCUCUGGGAGCAGGAUGCAGGCUAGAUGAGUUCUAGCUUGCUUCUGCUUGCUGUCUUUCCUGGGCACUCCACAGUUUCUUGCUUCUCCCUAGCCAGGCUCCAUACACACAGUGAAUAUGAUAGUUUAAGGCAUCAAAAUAACCAGUUUACUGUGUACAUACAGAAGUAAUGUCCUGCACAUGCCCUGAUGGCCUGUUCAUGUGAUGGGGAAGGGCUAGAAUGGAACAACCCCUUCCUAUGGCUAGACGGAAGCUAGACAAGGAAAACUUUGACUAAUUAGGAAACCCAGAGCUCAGAGGGGAUGGCUUGGGGGCUGUUCUAUGGCAUUUAGUUAUAGCAUGCAAUCCCAUCUUUCUGGCUAUCAUGAUAUAUAUACUUACACGUAUGUGUGUGAACAGACAUAAUAGUCUGAAGCCUUAACUGUGUCUCACAUUAAUGCAGAUGAAAAGUUGAGGAGCUGCAAGGAACAAUUCUUUCAUUGUCCUCUACACAUCUGGGUUAAUGUUUCGUCCUUGAAUUAGUCCUCACCAGAGUGUUCCCUCUCUGCUCACCACAGGCUAGCAGUGCCAAUUUCCCUCCAUGGCAGCUCCAGUGACAGCUGUUUACUUGGAAGCUCAUGGAUUUGAUAUAUGGGUGCUAGCCACAAAUUAAUGGAAUACUUUCCAGAUGCAAAGUCUUUAAACAUUCAAACAAUAAGCCAAAAACACUAAGCUGUUUUGGCCAUUUUUUCUCUUCACUCUGGAUGUCACUUGGAGAUGAUGUAAACACAAUUACUUGGGACAACGAACAGAACACUUAAUUGGUUUUGGAUUAACAGCAUGGGUUGCUGGAUGGCAGUCAGUUGAUGGUGCCAUUUGUCACCUUAAGCCAAGACCUGAAAUCGCCAAGAAGGACAACGGAAUAAAGAAGAAAAAAGAAGUACUGAAGCUAACUGCUAGCAGGUGGCCUUCCCAGCCUAGUCAGAGAGCUGUGCGUGCUGGCCCAGCCUCCCAGGUUCAGGUGCUGUCCAGAAAUCAGUCUGGAGCAGAGGAGUCAGCACCUAGCUCAGAAAUGGAGACCCACAUUAGUCCCAGUCAUGCCUCUCUUCCACACUAGAUCUUCAGCAGAUUUCAGUUUGCAUUACAUGCACCCUAAUUCUGAGGACUGGGAAAAAUCCACCUGACAGCAUUUGAGGGCAAAAAUCAGUGUACGAAAGUGGGCUAAAUUUCUUUGGGGCUGUGUGUAAGUUUAACCAUUAGUACCUUUGCUCAAAGAUAACAACAGGUCAAAUUGAAAACUUGUGUGAAGUAGAAUGGCUGCACUGAAGCCGGACGGUAAUGAUUUAUACCACCUCAGAACCUGGGCCAAGAAGUGUAACUGAUUUCUUGGCCAACUUACAUCACUUUUUUUCUUAUCCCUUUGCAUUUUCUUUGGCAUUUUCUUCUUUGCAUUUUCUCAUUUUCUUCCCCCUAAAUUUAAUGUGAUCUGGACAGUUGAGCUACCAGGACAUCAAUUUUCUAUCCAGUCAUUAGGGGGAGGAACCUUCUUACACACUUUUAUCUACAUACAAAUGCCAGCAAACAUGAGCUGUGUGCCCUUGUAUUAGAUGAGGGUAAGACAGAGCUCCAAGCAGCCCUGUCUGAACUUGAAAUGAGUUCAAGCCUGAAAUACUGCCCGCUUGAAGGUUUCUUCUUUAUUCUUUCCAAUGUUGUGAUUAAUUAGAGAAUUAAUACAUAUUAAAGUUAUCAUCAUCUUUACUGGAUGGAAAAAUUUGAAUUCAUUAUCUAAUGGGAGGAAAAUAAGCAUCAUUUUACAAGGGCUUUAGAGCAACAGUGGUAAUAACAAACCACCACUCUAGUCCACAGGCAGCACAGACAUCUGCUAGAAAAAUAUGAUGAUUCCCCCACCCACCACCCUCAAAUUUAGGGAUUUGUGGAAUACAGGCCUUGCCUGAAGUUGUUUGGCAGGAAUCCUCAUGCGAAGUUCUUAUUUAAUGAAAUCAUGUGGUAGUAAAUCAAACACAGAACCAGGAAUAAGUAAAUCCACCACAUCCUUUGAAAAAAGUAUGGUUUGAUUCCAUCAACUCAAGUUGCCUGGGCAAUGAAUUAUCUAUUUUUGUCAACUAAAAAGCCAUCACCCAACAAUCACCCAUCUUUAUGGUACAAUUUUAUAAUCCUCAGUCUCAAAGCUGAGCUGAGAGCCAGCACAGUAUGGACAGGUUAGUCACACAAAGAGCUCCUAAGACUAGUGCUAAGCUGUUGUAUCUUUGCAAAGUCUGUGCAAAUGGCUCAAAAGGCAAAACUUGUGGCCUCUUACAAAGUGUCAAAAGAAAGGUGGCAAAUUAGUGUCAUGAACAACAUGAGAGAAAGCAGGUAGAAAAGUGAACAGAGCAACAUUAACAUUAUGAUACAAAAAAUCAGAGGUUGGCAUUAUGGACUUGGUAGUGUCAUGCUGGUGGUUCGUGUUGGUUAUCUGAAGGGUCCUUCCCAACCACAAUGAUUCUAUCUAAUACCUACUGAUUUCAGAAAGAGCCUUAACACAGAUCCACUUUACAUGGCUUUUUCUAUGCCCACGGAGGUUCAGAGCCAUGGAAAGGUGCUGAGUCUGAUAAAUUCAUUACAAUUAGGUCACAAUUAUUACAGUUAGGAUCUCUCACAUAACUUCUUUCUUCUGACACUUCCCACAGAAAUGAUGGCUAUUGAAUCAGCAAUACCUGCUUACAAUGUUUGAUGUUUUUAAACUGUGAUUCAAUUUUCUAUGUUGCCUUCUCUACUUUUCCAUAGAAAGUUCAAUGUAAAAAAGGGAAAAAGGGAAGAAGUAAGUUCAAUGAAAUUUUCUUGCAUUUUCUUUUUCUUUUUUUUCUUUUUUUUUCUUUUUCUUUUUUUUUUUUUUAGGGAAACCUGAAUUUUCUGCAGAAAACCACAACAGAAACAACCACUUCUUGUCAACAUUUCCCUUAGGAGUAAUUAAAUGUGAUUUUCAUACACUAAUACGCCUAAGAAAGCAAGCAGAAGAGAGAACAUCCGUGUUUUUAUAAACAAGAUUUACAAAGAGAGAGAUUUUGUGAGGAAGCAGUUGGAAGAGGGAUUGUAUCAGGUGUGUCCAUAUUAACCAUGAGCCACCUGCUGAGAUUGCUGUGCUACCUGUAGUUGCUGCUUGAAAUUAAUUCAAUAACUCAAUUACACAAAAACUCCCUUAGCUCUUCUCUCUUUAAUUGAAUGAGAAAAACUACAAACUUUUUAUAAUUUUUAUAACUGAGUACUUACAAGUAUUGAGACGGUGGUUUUACUCUUGCUGGUCUGUCUUGUAUUUGUUGUUGUUUCAGCUUUGUGAUUCAUCACUGUGAAAUCAAAAUGAAAUAGCUCUUCAGAAAUCUUGGGAUUUCCUAGAAUCCCCAUCUGAAUGCCAUUUAAGAAGAUUUGGCUUUGUAAUUAACCAUUUCUCAGGGAGUUAAAAAAUAUAAACAACUCAAAUGUGGCAUUUUUACAACCUUAAUAAAACCAAAUGCAACAUUUACUAGGUACA